UACAGAGGGUGCAAGCGUUAAUCGGAAUUACUGGGCGUAAAGCGUGCGUAGACGGUUAUGUAAGUCAGAUGUGAAAGCCCCGGGCUCAACCUGGGAAUUGCAUUUGAGACUGCAUAGCUAGGGUGCGGAAGAGGGAAGCGGAAUUUCCGGUGUAGCGGUGAAAUGCGUAGAUAUCGGGAGGAACACCAGUGGCGAAAGCGGCUUCCUGGUCCAGCACCGACGUUCAGGCACGAAAGCGUGGGGAGCAAACAGG
rnacentral:rRNA from 1 species